rnacentral:rRNA from 1 species
GACGAACGCUGGCGGCGUGCUUAACACAUGCAAGUCGAACGGAAAGGCCCUGCUUUUGUGGGGUGCUCGAGUGGCGAACGGGUGAGUAACACGUGAGUAACCUGCCCUUGACUUUGGGAUAACUUCAGGAAACUGGGGCUAAUACCGGAUAGGAGCUCCUGCUGCAUGGUGGGGGUUGGAAAGUUUCGGCGGUUGGGGCUGGACUCGCGGCUUAUCAGCUUGUUGGUGGGGUAGUGGCUUACCAAGGCUUUGACGGGUAGCCGGCCUGAGAGGGUUACCGGCCACAUUGGGACUGAGAUACGGCCCAGACUCCUACGGGAGGCAGCAGUGGGGAAUAUUGCACAAUGGGCGGGAGCCUGAUGCAGCAACGCCGCGUGCGGGAUGACGGCCUUCGGGUUGUAAACCGCUUUCGCCUGUGACGAAGCGUGAGUGACGGUAAUGGGUAAAGAAGCACCGGCUAACUACGUG